rnacentral:rRNA from 1 species
AGUGAACGCUGGCGGUAGGCCUAACACAUGCAAGUCGAACGGCAGCACAGUAAGAGCUUGCUCUUACGGGUGGCGAGUGGCGGACGGGUGAGGAAUACAUCGGAAUCUACUUUUUCGUGGGGGAUAACGUAGGGAAACUUACGCUAAUACCGCAUACGACCUACGGGUGAAAGCAGGGGAUCUUCGGACCUUGCGCGAUUGAAUGAGCCGAUGUCGGAUUAGCUAGUUGGCGGGGUAAAGGCCCACCAAGGCGACGAUCCGUAGCUGGUCUGAGAGGAUGAUCAGCCACACUGGAACUGAGACACGGUCCAGACUCCUACAGGAGGCAGCAGUGGGGAAUAUUGGACAAUGGGCGCAAGCCUGAUCCAGCCAUACCGCGUGGGUGAAGAAGGCCUUCGGGUUGUAAAGCCCCUUUGUUGGGAAAGAAAAGCAGCAGGUUAAUACCCCGCUGUUCUGACGGUACCCAAAGAAUAAGCACCGGCUAACUUCGUG